rnacentral:rRNA from 1 species
GGGUUGUGAGGUUAAGCGACUAAGCGUACACGGUGGAUGCCCUGGCAGUCAGAGGCGAUGAAGGGCGUGCUAAUCUGCGAUAAGCGCCGGUAAGGUGAUAUGAACCGUUAUAACCGGCGAUACCCGAAUGGGGAAACCCAGUGUGAUUCGUCACACUAUCAUUAACUGAAUCCAUAGGUUAAUGAGGCGAACCGGGGGAACUGAAACAUCUAAGUACCCCGAGGAAAAGAAAUCAACCGAGAUUCCCCCAGUAGCGGCGAGCGAACGGGGAGGAGCCCAGAGCCUGAAUCAGCAUGUGUGUUAGUGGAAGCGUCUGGAAAGGCGCGCGAUACAGGGUGACAGCCCCGUACACAAAAGCGUAUGUGCUGUGAGCUCGAUGAGUAGGGCGGGACACGUGGUAUCCUGUCUGAAUAUGGGGGGACCAUCCUCCAAGGCUAAAUACUCCUGACUGACCGAUAGUGAACCAGUACCGUGAGGGAAAGGCGAAAAGAACCCCGGCGAGGGG